UUCUACAAUUCGGCCUGCACACUAGGUGGAGUGAUCCUUGUAUGUCUGGUGCCCCAAUUAAAGAAUGCCUGCUUUCUUAAAAUCCAGAUUGAAUCUUAGAGAGUUUCUUUGACAGACUUUGUGGUAACAGUUUUGGCAACCCAAGGGGGAUUUAGCUCUUGAGCCUUGACAGUUCCUGGGAUCGUGGAACCUCAGCCGACACUGAGGGAUUCUCAGAGAGGACCCCGAUCCCCAGGCCAAAGAGCCCCUGAGCGAAGACCACAGUUUUAGUUCUGUGCCAGUCCUUUGUGUUCCUUGAGAUUUGUUCUGAAGUAUCCUACAGACAAAUUAAUUUGCCAGCCAGAAGCCUUCAGCGACUACAUUGGAUUUAAGAGUUUCCCUCAGCCAGCUGGCAUAAGAAAGAGAAACAUUCCAGAAGAACUUCUCAUCUCCAAAUGUCCACCAUUCCCACCCCCAUCGAGUGAAAGCUUUUACAGCAUGCCUGGAUGUACAUCAAAUUGAGGCCAUUUUCAACAAAGGGAAAAAGGAAUGCACUCUAGAUCCUCGGGGCCUCGAUUGAGACUAUGCAGCUGCAAGCACCCUUUCUCUUUUUAAGGGAGUGAUUCAGACCAAGCUCUUCUAUUGGCUAUAGAUGUAGCAAUGAUAUAUUUUAUGGUUCUCUCUGCAAUAUUUUAUUUUAAGCACUCUGCUGAGCAUUUAUAUUCAGGCUGGUGAUCUGGUCCCUUUUCCUUUUCUACAAGAAGAUUAUGCUUUGGCUGCACCUAUAGACCCCAGUUUUACACAGAAGUGGUAUGCAUCCCACUGAUGAGAAAGUUAUAAAUUUUCUCAAGUAAUUCUGAAAUGGAAUUGGUCUUUAUUUCUGUUUUCUUAUUGUCCAGUAAAAUGAAGGAAAUCUGCCUACAUUCAAGUAAUUCCAUGCUUCAUCUGAAUUGCAGCACCUAGAUCUUCAUUCCUUUAAUCCCAUGGAUUUUGACCAGGUGAAAGUCUGGCUCCUGCUGUUGCCAGCAAAAUUCCAAUUGAUUUCAAGAGUUUAAUCUCAGAGUUUGACUAAGGGUCAAAUUUAAUCUGGCAGGAAAGGUCUGAGGGCUGUUGCACAUUUCUGCAAUUUCCGCUGUGUUGUUGAUAUUGCAGUUGCAUGAAACCUAUGUACUCCAGAGCUGGAGUCACAUUUCAGAAAAUCACUCUACAAAUACUAGAUAUGAACACAUUUCAUGCGUGGUCAGACUUAAUCUCCAUUUUCUGUGGCUGUUUUUUAAAGUUAUUCCUCCUAUCCUUUCCUCAUUUGGAUGUGGUGCCAUGUCUUGCUAAAGUGUUGUUUGUGAGGAGAGUUGAUAGCCAAGGCUAAAUCCAAAUGCUUAAAAUACAAUCACAGUCUCCACAGUCUUCUAAUAUUUGAAAGCUUUGCUGAAAAGGAAAGAGAUAUAAGCUCAUAACUAAAAAUGUACAUCUCAAGUCAGGUUUAAAUAUGAAAUAAUCUCAGACAAGUCUGUUUGAUUUCCAUCACAAUAACCUUGUAAAUACAUUUUUACUCCCUUGAUUUAAACAUUUUAUUUUCUUAAUAAGUUUGAGUUCUGAAUGGCUAAGUGAAUUUUUUUGAACUUACAUUUAAGGAACUUUUUUUUUUUUUUUUUUUUUUAGUUACGAGAAUACUGUUUUGGUUCUGCAUGUAUACUGUUACUUCUGAAAACUGAAGCAGAAUGAUGUUGUUCUUUUACACCAAAUGUGUUUUGCUGAAUAUAAAAUCCAUGGAAAGAGAUAAAUAUCUGUUUACAAA